UAUUACAGUUUGAUCCUGGCUCAGGAUGAACGCUAGCGGCAGGCUUAAUACAUGCAAGUCGCGGGGCAACAUGUCCCGCAGCAAUGCGGGAUGAUGGCGACCGGCAAACGGGUGCGGAACACGUACACAACCUUCCUUCGAGUGGGGAAUAGCCCGGGGAAACCCGGAUUAAUACCCCGUAACAUAAUGAGGUGGCAUCACUUUAUUAUUAUAGCUCCGGCGCUUGAAGAUGGGUGUGCGACUGAUUAGGCAGUUGGCGGGGUAACGGCCCACCAAACCUACGAUCAGUAACUGGUGUGACAGCACGACCAUGUCACACGGGCACUGAGACACGGGCCCGACUCCUACGGGAGGCAGCAGUAAGGAAUAUUGGCCAAUGGACCCACUUCUGAACCAGCUUUGCCGCGUGGAGGAGGGAUGGUCCCUACAU
rnacentral:rRNA from 1 species